rnacentral:rRNA from 1 species
GAAUUCGCCCUUAGAGUUUGAUCCUGGCUCAGGACGAACGCUGGCGGCGCGCCUAACACAUGCAAGUCGAACGAGCGAGAGGAGGUUUACUUUCUCAAGCGAGUGGCGAACGGGUGAGUAACGCGUGAGGAACCUGCCUCAAAGAGGGGGACAACAGUUGGAAACGACUGCUAAUACCGCAUAAGCCCACGACCCGGCAUCGGGUAGAGGGAAAAGGAGCAAUCCGCUUUGAGAUGGCCUCGCGUCCGAUUAGCUAGUUGGUGAGGUAAUGGCCCACCAAGGCGACGAUCGGUAGCCGGACUGAGAGGUUGAACGGCCACAUUGGGACUGAGACACGGCCCAGACUCCUACGGGAGGCAGCAGUGGGGAAUAUUGCACAAUGGGGGAAACCCUGAUGCAGCGACGCCGCGUGGAGGAAGAAGGUCUUCGGAUUGUAAACUCCUGUUGUUGAGGAAGAUAAUGACGGUACUCAACAAGGAAGCGCCGGCUAACUACGUGCCAGCAGCCGCGGUAAAACGUAGGUCACAAGCGUUGUCCGGAAUUACUGGGUGUAAAGGGAGCGCAGGCGGGAAGACAAGUUGGAAGUGAAAUCCAUGGGCUCAACCCAUGAACUGCUUUCAAAACUGUUUUUCUUGAGUAGUGCAGAGGUAGGCGGAAUUCCCGGUGUAGCGGUGGAAUGCGUAGAUAUCGGGAGGAACACCAGUGGCGAAGGCGGCCUACUGGGCACCAACUGACGCUGAGGCUCGAAAGUGUGGGUAGCAAACAGGAUUAGAUACCCUGGUAGUCCACACCGUAAACGAUGAUU